GCAGCACUUUGUACACUGCGGUCGUUCUGCGUCCGUCGUGUACGGUUAGCAUUUUGGAAGCUAGCUAACUAGCUAGAAACGAUUGGCUUUUAAGACGAGUUUGGCUACGUAGAAGAAUUGGUCACGUCAGGUUUCACGUGACUGCGUUAGAUUACUCUGUUAGAGCAGGAGGUUGGGCUUCAUGGCGGACUGUUUGCACUUUAUUUCCUAAGAAAAUGAGAGCAAUCACCAGUUCAACAAGGGUGGCAGAGUGCUUUAUGCUGCUGAAUGAUGAUAUCCUGCCCAGAGCAUCACACUUCCUCUGCUGGCUUGCCUUCUUCCCAUAGUACAUCCUGGUGCCAUGUCUUCCCCAGUAUCAGGUCAUCUCCCUCCAAGGAGGCGUCGGCUGUGACAUGAACUGCCUUAACGGUUCCCGUCACCGGAGAGUUGACCACCGUCUCCAUCUUCAUGGCCGACAGGACGCACAGUGGCUGACCCUUCUCCACCUUUGGACUUUUCCAGGCAUGGGUGCUCCCACCUGACCCUUGAUGGACUUCUGAGCUUUGGGAUGGAACUUCAUUUCCUGGGUGGAAGAAACAACACAGAUUUCACGCAUUUAUCUGUCCAGCCGAUCAUCCAUCCGAGUCAUCCACUCACGCCAGCCUCCAUUUAUCCACUCAUCCUGUCAACGAUCCAACGAUAUAGUUAUUCAAACACACUGAAGCAGUUCUCCCCGAACCUGCUGAGCCUCCAUCUACCUUUCAUCACCAUUUGUUUCUAUGAAUAAAAAUCACCUGUGGUU